CCGACUGGCCGAUUUGAACGCUGGCGGCGAGGGCACGGCCGUCGGGCCGCUCGCGCUCCUUCCUCCGCUUCCUCGCGGGCAGGGCUCGAACUGCGUGAGGACGGGCGCACCACCCGGGUGUGGUUCGAGCUCUGGAUGGUAAAGUCAGGCUGUUUAUUCCGUGUCGGGAAGCCCGCGCCGAUCGCUACGGGCAGCAGUGGCCCUCAGACAUUUCCCAGCUGCUCGCGAGGUGUGCAGCGUUGUCCCAGCGCCUGAAGUUGUGAGCUUUGUCACUCGUGCCGGGCGAGGGCUGUAACGAAGCCUGGGUCAAGGAAAGCAGCCACAUGACUGGAACCCCUCUAGGAAACUGAAAGCAGGAGAUAGCCACCCGGUCACACAAAGAUGGAGGGUGUUUGCCCCGUUUUAUCGUGGGAAGAGGCCACAGCUAGAUUCUGUCAGCAGUAGAAGAGAAAAUGGCCAAAGGCCAUGAACUGAAAGAAGAAUGAUUUGUAGCUUCAAGUAUACAAAUC